GAUGAACGCUGGCGGCGUGCCUAAUACAUGCAAGUAGAACGCUGAAGGAAGGAGCUUGCUCUUUCCGGAUGAGUUGCGCACGGGUGAGUAACGCGUAGGUAACCUGCCUGGUAGCGGGGGAUAACUAUUGGAAACGAUAGCUAAUACCGCAUAACAGUAGAUGUUGCAUGAUAUCUACUUAAAAGGUGCAAUUGCACCACUACCAGAUGGACCUGCGUUGUAUUAGCUAGUUGGUGAGGUAACGGCUCACCAAGGCGACGAUACAUAGCCGACCUGAGAGGGUGGUCGGCCACACUGGGACUGAGACACGGCCCAUACUCCUACGGGAGGCAGCAGUAGGGAAUCUUCGGCAAUGGACGGAAGGCUGACCGAGCAACGCCGCGUGAGUGAAGAAGGUUGUCGGAUCGUAAAGCUCUGUUGUAAGAGAAGAACGAGUGUGAGAGUGGAAAGUUCACACUGUGACGGUAUCUUACCAGAAAGCGACGGCUAACUACGUG
rnacentral:rRNA from 1 species